GAUGAACGCUGGCGGCGUGCUUAACACAUGCAAGUCGAGCGAUGAAGUUUCCUUCGGGAAACGGAUUAGCGGCGGACGGGUGAGUAACACGUGGGUAACCUGCCUCAUAGAGUGGAAUAGCCUUCCGAAAGGAAGAUUAAUACCGCAUAAUGUUGAAAGAUGGCAUCAUCAUUCAACCAAAGGAGCAAUCCGCUAUGAGAUGGACCCGCGGCGCAUUAGCUAGUUGGUGGGGUAACGGCCUACCAAGGCGACGAUGCGUAGCCGACCUGAGAGGGUGAUCGGCCACUUUGGGACUGAGACACGGCCCAGACUCCUACGGGAGGCAGCAGUGGGGAGUAUUGCACAAUGGGGGAAACCCUGAUGCAGCAACGCCGCGUGAGUGAUGACGGUCUUCGGAUUGUAAAGCUCUGUCUUUGGGGACGAUAAUGACGGUACCCAAGGAGGAAGCCACGGCUAACUACGUGCCAGCAGCCGCCGUAACAC
rnacentral:rRNA from 1 species